rnacentral:lncRNA from 1 species
GGUUACACCUGCAGCAUAUAGAUGUUCCACGCUAGAGAUUGACGCUGCUGGCCUACACCCCAGCUGCAUCUGCAGCCUCCACAGCAGCUUGUACCAAUGCAGGAUCCUUAACCCACAGAGCAAGGCCAGGGGUUGAACCCACAUCCUCAUAGAUACUAGGUUGGUUUCGUAACCCACUGAGCCAUAUUGGGAACUCUCCUGGCAUCAUAUUUCUAGGUAAACUCUAAACUUUCAUUCAGACUUGCUACAGGAACAGUAAAUUUUAGAGUAAAUUUGAUACCCUGUUUAAGGAAUUAUUGAUAUGAGGUAAUAAAGUGAAUUUCUAGGCAUCUUCUGGUUCUGAUAUUUUUUUGAUCAGAUUAAAGAUGAAAUUCCUGAGAGGCCUAAGGGUGAAGUGGACAUGUUUUGCUUCUGAGUUUUUUCUGAACUAUUUUAGCUGUAGUUUCAUACUAAACAAAGAAGGAAUUCAAUUUAAUUCAGCAUAUUUUUAUUGAGUAUCCUUUGCGCCCAGGUAUUAGGGAUGAAGAGAUGAAAAUAUAUAUUUGCUGCCUAGAAGUUGUCAGUUAUCUAGUAGGAUAGGGUGAUACUUACUCUAUGAAUCUAUGAUGUAGAAACAUGACGAUGAACUGCUCUGUAAUGCGAGGAAUGCCACACUACCACUUUGGAAGUGGAGGAGGAAGUAAAUAAUCUUGUCUGCAGUCAGUCAAAUCUUUACAGAGGUGACCUUUGAAUAGGUACCUGGAAUGUUAGGCCUAGCUCACAUCUAGUGGCUUGGCAAACAGUGACUGACUGUUCAGAUAAAAUAUGGUCUAUGUACUUGUGAAUUUCAUCAUUUAAUGUGUUUCAUUUUAUAUAUUAAUUCAAUCCAGUCAUUAUUAAAUAUAUAUUUAGUGAGCCUAUAUUAUGUAUUAGCCUUUGGGUUACAUGCUUUAGUUGUAAAACUGAACAAAACAGGUAAGGACCCUGCUCUCAGGCAAGUCAUAUUCUCAGGGUGGUGGGGGGAGACAGGGCAAGAACAGAUAGGAAGCAUGUACAGAUGUGUGUGUGUGUGUGUGUGUGUGUGUGUGUAACACCUGAGAGAGUGACAUGCAUAAACAAGCACAGGAUGGAAAGGAGCUAGUUAGGCAGAAAGAGAUUAGGAAAAAAACAUGUUCAGGGCAAAGUCAAUAUCAAGUGCACUAAUACUGCAAGAACCUAAUGGUGCAGAUAGGUGAUGGGAUAAGUUGUCCUGGGUAUAGGAAGGAUCUAGGACAGAACAGAAGACUAGGCUACAGCAGGGAAUUUUCAUUUCAUUCUACUUUUAGUGUGGAACAGGUGUGGGAAAGACCACCUAAUUUACAUUUUAUAAAGGUCCAUCUGGUUGUUCCCAGGAGAAUGCAAGGUUAGGGAGUGAGAAGGUGAGCGGGACAUCCAGUGUGGAGGCCAUCAGCUCAUUUUAAAAAAUGAUGGUGGUUUCCUUUAGAGUGGUGGCAAUGGAAAUAAACACAACUGUAAGAACUGAAAAUACAAUUUGUAGGUAGCUCAGAAGGACUAUCCUGAGAGAGACUGGAUAGGGAGUAAAGAGAAGAAUCAAAUAAUCUACUUAGAUUUUUCAUUUGUUUAAAGAACUGGGUAAAGGUGAUGUAGUUCUCUGAGGUAGGGAAGACUGAAUGAGCAGUCAUUUCUUUGUGCCCUCCCAUAUUUCAUGGCGCUUAUAUUAGGGGAUCUGUCACAGAGCUAUGGACAGUGGGGCUCCUAUCAGUAAUAACAACAUUCUUCUUUACACCAUAGCCAACAACCACUGAGAGAUCCGCUUUAUCUAGGGCUUCUCAUUUAAUUUUUACAACUCUGCGAUGGUGGUUCUAAUUUAAUCACUAUGAUAUAGAUAAGAAUGCCAAUGCAUAAAGAGUUGCUUGUGUUGAUUCCAGGAGUCCAUGUCCAUGACUGGAUCUUAAUCCACGUCUGGCUCUACUUCCAGACAUGAGAUUGAGCUUGUUUAGAAAAACUAUGAUGUGACACUGUUCUUUCAAUUUUCUCGCUGGAGGGACUGACUGUGUAGUACUUUGUAGUUGAAAAGUAUUCAUACUAUUUUCUCAUUCAAUGCAAUUCUCACAAAAUCUUGUAUUAAAAUUUAAAGAGGAAAAUGCAUAGCAAUAAAUUCAAUGUAAUUUAUCAAGGUCAAAGAUCAUAGUAUAAGAAAAAAUCGAUAUUUAAACCAAGUCCAUUGGAUGUAAUAAUCCAUGCUCAUUCCUCAGCAUGAGCUACUGGGUUAAAAUAUUGGCCAGUGCAUGACUUCAAUGGUAAAAUACCAGUGCAGAAGGAAAAUGCAGUCAACUAUGCGUUAUUUGCCUAGAAAAAUGGAAAUGACAUGGUGCUGAAAGCAAAGAAAUCUAUAAAAUAUACAGACAUUUAAUUUAACAAGUUGACUGUGUUUAAAAUAUCAUUGUACUAUUUAAACAACAGGAAAAUCAAGGCUCUUUGAGACUUUAUAAAGACUACAAAUGUUACAUUAUUUGCAUUUUGAUUUUUAAGCAAAAUUUUUUAUGAAUUUGUCAACAAUAAGUAGUUAAAAGAGAAUGUGAUAAAAGAGCCGAUUUGUGAACUCUAAAGCACAGAAACUUUGAAAGAUAAAACACUGCCACUGCCUGUAUUUGUCCCUUCUGAAUUCAAAUACAAUAUAAAUUAUUGAUAAUCAAAAACUAUCUUUGAAAAAAUGUUGCCAUGGUGAUCAGCUUCCGUGAAUGUUUGUAUGCAUUUUCAAUUGUAUGUAG